AUUAUCAAGCUGGGUAUCCUGACUUUUGAUUGGUUCCUCAUAUAUUUUUUACCUCCAUUACGCAGCAUUGAAUGUCCUUACUCUGACUUACAUCGACAGGACAAGACACGAUGAACAACCCUUUCUUGCUUCAGUCAUUUCUGUGUAAUAUCCGGAUUGUUCUGGAAGUUAUGAUUAAGCAGUAUGAUGAAGUUCACCUACAUAAGGAUGUUUACCUGCUUGGGAGGUGUUUGUGCUUGCCAGCUGAUAGUCACACUUCAGUGGUGUAGUACAGACUGCUGUAUAAAUGUGUGACAGCACGUAAUUACAACAUGGUAACGGUUUAUUUGUUUUUAACUGUGUUGUUUUUUGAGGGUUUUUUUUUUUAAACAGUUUUUCCCUCCAUCGUAAAUGUGCUUUACAGUAUCUGGCAGGAUGGUUGCUGGUGGGAUACAGAAAUUAACAAAGGGGAUUUUGUGGGCUAUUAGUCUCCUGCAGGUCGGUCUGUUUCUCUGUCAUCCAGUAAUGGGCUAAUUAUGGAGAACAGUAACCCGUGGGAGCACCACCACCCACCUUGCGUGCGCCUCGCUGUGAAACAUACCUGUUCUCUAAAUCAGGAUGUCUGGUUUAAAGAAGGCUUUUUCCCUCCCCCAUGUUAAUGGUGUGAAACAAACUGUGAUUUUCAAAGAGUCUUGUUUCCUUAUAAGUCAGAAGAAAAAAGGCCGUCUUACUGGGAACAGGUUAAUUGUUAACAAGCGGCAGCUGCAGCAAGUUUGUCACUAAACAUGUUCGUUGUGUUUAAAUUCACUUUUUCACCACUUAUUGGAGAUAUUAUUGAUUAUGACGUGCACUUAGGGAUGUGUUAUGUUUGCAUCUUUUUCUUUUGCCCCUUUUAAAAAUAGAGAAAAACGUCUUAGCCAUUUUUUUUUGCUACACUUACGUUUAUGUUUGCAAAAAAAGUACAAAGCAUAUCUUAAAACUGGAGGAAACUCACAAAAAUAUGGUGUCAAUAGGAAGAUACUGUGCAGUUUAAAUAUUCAGUAAAUCCUGUGUUGUUGUUUCUCUUCUGUAAACUCAGAG
ensembl:lncRNA